UACGUAGGGUGCAAGCGUUGUCCGGAAUUAUUGGGCGUAAAGAGCUCGUAGGCGGUCUGUCGCGUCGGCUGUGAAAACCCGGAGCUCAACUCCGGGCCUGCAGUCGAUACGGGCAGACUGGAGUUCGGCAGGGGAGACUGGAAUUCCUGGUGUAGCGGUGAAAUGCGCAGAUAUCAGGAGGAACACCGGUGGCGAAGGCGGGUCUCUGGGCAUUACCUGACGCUGAGGAGCGAAAGUGUGGGGAGCGAACAGG
rnacentral:rRNA from 1 species